GCAAAGGUCAGAGGGACUGGCCAUAGGCACAUGUGAAGCUUUCUUGCCAAUCUUCAUUGAACUCACACUUCAAAAGUCAUGGUUUUCUCUGUUUUAUUGUAAUUUUCUGUUUUAUUAUAAAGAAGAUUGCAGAAAAGAGGCAGAAUAGGAGAGCUGAAAGACAAAAAGAGUAUCUAAACAACAGAGGACACAUACUGGAAUCUCUGGAGCUCAUCCCUUCAGAGGGUCCUUCCCAGAAGAACUGUAUCUCCACUACCUCGGUUCUCUGGAAUAAAUUACAACCUUAUGAUUCACGAGUCCAAACAGGACAGUCUUUACGUCUACCCAUCUUAUAAUUGAUGUGGCUUUCAAGGAACAACAAAACCUAAGCAAAUUAUGGGAACAAGCAUUUAUCAACCACGCAAAUGAAGCCAUUCUUUAGUUUUUCUACACCAGGAGUUCCAAAGUCAAGCUACAUUCAAAGAGAGAAACAACACAUUGGAUACUCAAGUUAUGAACCGUCAGAAGAGUCAGAAAUUCCUUAUAGGAUAGAACAUGUGCAAUUGAAAUCUAAUAUUAAGUUUUCUGUGGAAAAAAACAUAUAUGUGUACUAUAUGGCUAUCUGAUCAUUUUAAAAACAUACUCAGAAUACUUUAAUAAAACACUGUGAGUAUGAAUUAUCUAUGCUCUAAACACUUUACUUCUCUUUCUGCAUUUAUGCCAUCACUUCUUAUCUCUUUAUACCUUGAACUUUUUCUUUCCCCCCUCUCUCA
rnacentral:lncRNA from 1 species